GGCUCAGGACGAACGCUGGUGGCGUGCAUAACACAUGCAAGUCGAGCGAAGUGCUUAUCAUGAAACCUUCGGGUUGAUUGAUAAACCACUUAGCGGCGGAUGGGUGAGUAACGCGUGAGGAACCUGCCUUGCACAAGGGGAUAGCCUCGGGAAACCGGGAUUAAUACCCUAUGAUACUUUAAGUUCGCAUGAACAUAAAGUUAAAGUGACUAAACGGUGUAAGAUGGCCUCGCGUCCCAUUAGCUAGUUGGUAAGGUAAUGGCUUACCAAGGCUGCGAUGGGUAGCCGGCUUGAGAGAGUGACCGGCCACACUGGAACUGAGACACGGUCCAGACUCCUACGGGAGGCAGCAGUGGGGAAUAUUGCACAAUGGAGGGAACUCUGAUGCAGCGACGCCGCGUGAGCGAUGAAGGAAUUCGUUUCGUAAAGCUCUGUCCUAGGGGACGAUAAUGACGGUACCCUAGGAGGAAGCCCCGGCUAACUACGUGCCAGCAGCCGCGGUAAUACGUAGGGGGCGAGCGUUGUCCGGAAUUACUGGGCGUAAAGGGUACGCAGGCGGCCAUGUAAGUCAGAUGUGAAAGACAUAGGCUUAACCUAUGUAAGCAUUUGAAACUGCUUGGCUUGAGUUAAGGAGAGGAAAGUGGAAUUCCUAGUGUAGUGGUGAAAUACGUAGAUAUUAGGAAGAAUAUCAGUGGCGAAGGCGACUUUCUGGACUUAUACUGACGCUGAGGUACGAAAGCGUGGGGAGCAAACAGGAUUAGAUACCCUGGUAGUCCACGCUGUAAACGAUGAGUGCUAGGUGUCGGGGGUCAAACCUCGGUGCCGCCGUUAACACAUUAAGCACUCCGCCUGGGGAGUAC
rnacentral:rRNA from 1 species